AGUGAACGCUGGCGGUAGGCCUAACACAUGCAAGUCGAACGGCAGCACAGUAAGAGCUUGCUCUUACGGGUGGCGAGUGGCGGACGGGUGAGGAAUACAUCGGAAUCUACUUUUUCGUGGGGGAUAACGUAGGGAAACUUACGCUAAUACCGCAUACGACCUACGGGUGAAAGCAGGGGAUCUUCGGACCUUGCGCGAUUGAAUGAGCCGAUUUCGGAUUAGCUAGUUGGCGGGGUAAAGGCCCACCAAGGCGACGAUCCGUAGCUGGUCUGAGAGGAUGAUCAGCCACACUGGAACUGAGAAACGGUCCAGACUCCUACGGGAGGCAGCAGUGGGGAAUAUUGGACAAUGGGCGCAAGCCUGAUCCAGCCAUACCGCGUGGGUGAAGAAGGCCUUCGGGUUGUAAAGCCCUUUUGUUGGGAAAGAAAAGCAGCAGGUUAAUACCCCGCUGUUCUGACGGUACCCAAAGAAUAAGCACCGGCUAACUUCGUG
rnacentral:rRNA from 1 species